GGCAUGAUCUAUGGUUAGAGCGUAGGUCUCGUAACCUAAAGGUUGCGGGAUCGAAUCCCGCUAAAGGCUG
rnacentral:tRNA from 1 species